UCUCUGUGGACUGCAGCGUGGUCAUUCUUUACUACUAAUAUCCACUUACAAGAAAGCCCACGUCUGUGUCACACUUCUUCUCUGAGAGGCUCAGGAUCAGUGUGGAAGAGAAGGAAGAAAGAGUGUAAGAACUAGAGGUGUUGGAUAGCUACAAACAAACACGGUCUUCUGGACAUGGGAGGGCAGUGGUUAUGACGGAAUUCACGAGAGCUGUGCAAGCUUCAGCCAGGAAAUAAGAUACUGUGGAUUCAUUCUGUGUUAAGAAAAUUAAAGUUUUAUUGAGGAAGACUCCUUGAAAUAUCUCCAAAGGGAACAGAUGACCCAGAUGGUCCAACAUUUCAGAGUACCUCUGUUUCAGUUUCUCCUGAAUUCUGCAUCCAAAACAACUUCAAGGCUGCUGGUUGAGAUGAUCCAGCCUCACAGAAUACUUCCCAGUUAAUACUUGGCCAUAAUCCUAAAUUUUCUUUGGCUCCCCAAAGGAUUACCCGCACCCUCAAUUUGCAGAAUGUAACCUAGAAAACUACACCCACAUUCCCAAAAAUGGAUUAUGGAUAUUU